UACGGGGGGAGCAAGCGUUGUUCGGAUUUACUGGGCGUAAAGGGCGUGUAGGCGGUCGUGACAAGUCACUUGUGAAAUCUCCGGGCUUAACUCGGAACGGUCAAGUGAUACUGUCGGACUAGAGUACAGAAGGGGCAACUGGAAUUCUCGGCGUAGCGGUGAAAUGCGUAGAUAUCGAGAGGAACACCUGCGGCGAAGGCGGGUUGCUGGGCUGAUACUGACGCUGAGGCGCGAAAGCCAGGGGAGCGAACGGG
rnacentral:rRNA from 1 species